rnacentral:rRNA from 1 species
AUUGAACGCUGGCGGCAUGCCUAACACAUGCAAGUCGAACGAGUGGCGGACGGGUGAGUAAUGUCUUGGCAACUGCCCAAUGGCGGGGGAUAACUACUGGAAACGGUAGCUAAUACCGCAUACGAUCGUAUGUGCCCAGAUUGGAGUAGCUAGUAGGUGGGGUAACGGCUCACCUAGGCGACGAUCCCUAGCUGGUGUGAGAGGAUGACCAGCCACACUGGGACUGAGACACGGUCCAGACUCCUACGGGAGGCAGCAGUGGGGAAUUUUGGACAAUGGGCGAAAGCCUGAUGCAGCCAUGCCGCGUGUAUGAAGAAGGCCUUCGGGUUGUAAAGUACUUUUAGUGGGGAGGCGUUAUUUGCAGAAGAAGCACCGGCUAACUCCGUGCCAGCAGCCGCGGUAAUUC